GCCUGUCCCAGUUCGGACUGGAGUCUGCAACCCGACUCCACGAAGUUGGAUUCGCUAGUAAUCGCGCAUCAGCCAUGGCGCGGUGAAUACGUUCCCGGGCCUUGUACACACCGCCCGUCAAGCCAUGGGAGCCGGGGGCGCCUGAAGUCCGGGACCGCGAGGACCGGCCUAGGGCGAAACUGGUAACUGGGGCUAAGUCGUAACAAGGUACC
rnacentral:rRNA from 1 species